GAUGAAGAACGUAGCGAAAUGCGAUAAGUAAUGUGAAUUGCAGAAUUCAGUGAAUCAUCGAAUCUUUGAACGCACAUUGCGCCCGCCAGUAUUCUGGCGGGCAUGCCUGUUCGAGCGUCAUUUCAACCAUCAAGCCCCCGGCUUGUGUUGGGGACCUGCGGCUGCCGCAGGCCCUGAAAACCAGUGGCGGGCUCGCUGUCACACCGAGCGUAGUAGAUUUUCAUCUCGCUCAGGGCGUGCUGCGGGUUCCGGCCGUAAAAAGCCUUAUUUACCCAAGGUUGACCUCGGAUCAGGUAGGAAGACCCGCUGAACUUAAGCAUAUCAAUAAGCGGAGAA
rnacentral:misc_RNA from 1 species